rnacentral:rRNA from 1 species
ACGGCGCACGGGUGCGUAACACGUGGGCAAUCUGCCCUCGGAUGGGGGAUAACCCCGCGAAAGCGGGGCUAAUACCGCAUGAUAUUCCGAAGACUCCGGUCUUUGGACUCAAAGGCCGCAAGGCCGUCUGAGGAGGAGCCCGCGCCCGAUUAGCUAGUUGGUGAGGUAACGGCUCACCAAGGCUUUGAUCGGUAGCCGGUCUGAGAGGAUGGCCGGCCACACUGGAACUGAGACACGGUCCAGACUCCUACGGGAGGCAGCAGUGGGGAAUAUUGCGCAAUGGGCGAAAGCCUGACGCAGCGACGCCGCGUGGGGGAUGAAGCUUCUCGGAGUGUAAACCCCUUUCGACCCGGACGAAUGACCCGCAAGGGUUUGACGGUUCGGGUAUAAGAAGCCCCGGCUAACUACGUGCCAGCGGCCGCGGUAAUACGUAGGGGGCCAGCGUUGCUCGGAAUUACUGGGCGUAAAGGGUUCGUAGGUGGUGCGGCAAGUUGGAAGUGAAAUCUCUGGGCUUAACCCAGAGGCUGCUUUCAA